GUAGGUGGCAAGCGUUGUCCGGAAUUAUUGGGCGUAAAGCGCGCGCAGGCGGGUCCUUUAAGUCUGAUGUGAAAGCCCACGGGCUCAACCGUGGAGGGUCAUUGGAAACUGGGGGACUUGAGUACAGAAGAGGAAAGCGGAAUUCCAAGUGUAGCGGUGAAAUGCGUAGAGAUUUGGAGGAACACCAGUGGCGAAGGCGGCUUUCUGGUCUGUAACUGACGCUGAGGCGCGAAAGCGUGGGGAGCAAACAGGAUUAGAUACCCUGGUAGUCCACGCCGUAAACGAUGAGCGCUAAGUGUUAGGGGGUUUCCGCCCCUUAGUGCUGCAGCUAACGCAUUAAGCACUCCGCCUGGGGAGUACGGCCGCAAAGGCUG
rnacentral:rRNA from 1 species